GAUGAAGAACGCAGCGAAAUGCGAUAAGUAGUGUGAAUUGCAGAAUUCAGUGAAUCAUCGAAUCUUUGAACGCACAUUGCGCCCUUUGGUAUUCCUUAGGGCAUGCCUGUUCGAGCGUCAUUUAAACCUUCAAGCUAAGCUUGGUGUUGGGUGACUGUCCGCCUCACGGCGGACUCGCCUCAAAAUUAUUGGCGGCCGGUACAUUGGCUUCGAGCGCAGCAGAAACGCGAACUCGGGCCCGUCGUAUUGGCUCCCAGAAGCUAUCUUCACAAUUUUGACCUCAAAUCAGGUAAGAGUACCCGCUGAACUUAAGCAUAUCAAUAAGCGGAGGA
rnacentral:misc_RNA from 1 species